rnacentral:rRNA from 1 species
UCCCCGAGACGACUUUUUUUUCUCUGUCUUUGGUCCCCACCACUUUCACAAACCGGAAACCGCCGUACUCUGCCGCCCGAGGCAGUGGCAGUGCCCAGUGUUUGCCACUAGCGGAGGAACCUAAAGGCAAGAAAGAUCUUACCCACAAAAACCAGACCAAAGAAAUAUAGGCGCCAUGUUUAGUUUCAAUCGCACAGAGCGAGGAGGCUAGUCACGAUCAUAAAACAAAUAGACGUGCCGUUCAGUCUCAACCCGACGCACAACGGGGCAAACCUUUACAGGUUUAACCCCUUUUGAUGCGGUCAGCUAACGUGUUCUAACAAUAUGACGACCUAGCUAACCACCAACCACACCUCAAUUAUCAACAGAUGAAACCGAGUUGGAGACGAAGGGGUAAAACCUCCUCCCUUGUUAAGGCGGCACAACCUUAAUCUACACAAAUACCGAAAAAACCUUAACCUAAUGUCCACAGUUGGCCUUAUACUCUACUAAACAAACCUAUUCGGUCUUAUAAUCUCGUUUCCAAUAAGGUACUAAAAAGGCGUGUUUGUUUUUUCAAUAAGGUACUAAUAAAGAUAUCAACCCUUCAACAGAAUGGCACCAACCGUUCAGGUUGUUCAUGAAAAUCCAUGAAAGGGGCGAUUUAAUGUUACUAGCAACUAAAUCUUUUUGAUAAAUUAUAAAAGAAUUUGUGUCUGCGUCUGGGAGUAUGUGAGAUCAUAUCAUUUAAUUAACAGAUAGAUAGGGGAAGGUAGUACCGCGAGGUAGAGGGUAGUUGAUACUGCGGCGACGGAAAGCAGCUUGGUAGUGGGAGAGGUUGGCAACCGCAGCUCUAAGGAAGACCUCAAGAUGAAAACGCUGUCGCGGUUGCGAGUAUCGUACACGGAACCUCAACGUCUGUAGCAGUAACUUUGGAACUUAGCCAUUACGAUGGUGGCACAAGGGUGCUGCUCUUUGGAUUGGCGUGACGGGGUUCUUCUACUGUUCCCAGCUGCGGCUUCGAGGCAGUUGAGGUAGGGCUACCUACUUGAGUUCCUGUUAGUUUCGGGCCUUCUACAGAGAGCUCCUACUUAUUAGCAGUAAACGGGCUUGUGGAUUCUCUUUCUUUUUUUUCGAUUGGGUUUGAUGAUCAGCUUCAGCUCCGUGGCCCCGGGGGAGGGGCAGUAGUCGGCGGACUUGACGUCCGUCUCCCCUCCACCUAGGUGUCCGAGUGGCUGUUUCAAACCUCCCCUACUCACUGGAUCGGUCGCGUCAGCUCGCUCUCUCUUUGGGAUCGAACUUAUUUUAAAGAAUUUAAAAUGAUUCAAAUAUAUCUUUUUGAGAGAUAUAGAUGUUUGUAUAUAUUAUACUUAGAUACGGGGAUCUACACACACACACACAAAACCAUAAACUCUACAUCUAUAAACGAGCAUACCUGCAGAUUUUUUUAGAUACCAACAGAAGGGAGAAAUUCUUUUCAGAAGAAGGAGGAGGACGACCGCCAGGCGGUGCAAAGGCAACUGGAAACCUGUCACCACCACGCUUCCUACAGCCGGAGUACAGGCUAAGGGUAGGUUUACCACACAUAUCGCCGUAGCCGACCGGACACCUCCAAACUAUAAGAGCUAGAUGUUGAGAAAAGUAGCCGCUACCAAUGACGUGGCUAGGAAACCCAGGAAUCGUGCUGUAAAAGGCUACAGAUGUUGUUCCAGACAGGUCGAGGCCGCUCCCUCGCCGUUACUGCCGUCGCAGAAACCGAGUGAGGCCACGAACAUUAACAGCGAUCCACGGUUACUUUGACUAACAUUAAAAAUAACGGAAAUCACAAGAUUACUGACUGUACUAACUAAUAUUUAUCUAGUAUUCUUUUUACUCUACGCCUAUAAAAAGGACAUUGAAACUAGUUCCGAAUAUAAAAAGCUCUUUUUUUG